GUUAUUAAUUGUAAAAAUAAAUAAUAAUAUAAUGUCCAUCACAUUUCUCAUUUCAAUACCCUUUUCGUCUAACUGUUUCCAAGUGAAUCAUUACAAUAGUUUCUGAUUCUUCCACCAUUCUGAGCUCAUGAAGCACAUAUUGUCGAAGUGAUGAUAUAACAUAGCAAGACUAUAGAUCCACAAUAUAAAUUCUUUACCAAAUUAAGCAGGUUAGAUCUAAUCUUCCCUUGUUUGAAGCCAUCAAUGGACAAAAGCUUUUACAUGGCUGUUAUGAGGAAAAAUCUUUUGCUUCAGAUUUUAUGAGGCAGCAUAAACAGAAAGUGGUCCUGCAGAGAAAUGAUUGCUCUUCUGUUUUCUUUCCUGCUCACCUAACAUUCUAAAGAGCAUAGUGACAAAAGCACCGUUAAAGUGCUACUGUCAGCUCCUGUUAGAGUAGUAAUGGAAGGAGUUUGUGGUGGUGGGUGUUGUCAGGCACAGAUUAUUCACAGAAUGACUUUGCUGCUGAUUGAAUGGAAAGGUUGCUGAAGAGGCAGUGAUUGUUGCUGAUGAAGCGAAUCCUGAUGAUGCUGCAAAAUCAUUGCCGUUGUUGUUUCCAUUUUUUAUUAUCCAUGGCCAACUUGAGCUUUUUAGCGAAGAAUCCGCUCCGACUGUCUUCUCUGCAACCAUUUCCUGAUUGCUUGGUGAAAAUCCAGGAUAUAUGCCAGACAAUGUUGGAAGGUUCUUUGAUGCUAUUGGCA
rnacentral:misc_RNA from 1 species